rnacentral:rRNA from 1 species
UACGAAGGGGGCUAGCGUUGCUCGGAAUCACUGGGCGUAAAGGGUGCGUAGGCGGGUCUUUAAGUCAGGGGUGAAAUCCUGGAGCUCAACUCCAGAACUGCCUUUGAUACUGGCGAGCUUGAGUUCGGGAGAGGUGAGUGGAACUGCGAGUGUAGAGGUGAAAUUCGUAGAUAUUCGCAAGAACACCAAUUGCGAAGGCAGCUCGCUGGGACGUUACGGACGCUGAGACGCGAAAGCGUGGGGAGCAAACAGG